GCAGGGACACCUACGCAGCGUUGGGAGGACUCUGGGUGCGAUCUGCGUGCUUCCGGACCGCAGGCUGGGCUCGGGCGGCUAGCACCGGGAACCUGCUCGGCGUCAUCGGAGUCCACCAUCCGCAGGGGAUCCAGUGACAGCCUUGGCGCCGGUGUCUGCUUUUCCCAGACCAGCCAGGAAGGACCAUGUGCCAGGACUUACACCUCAUCCAUCUGCCCUUGGCCUCCUUGGAGCCCUUUCUCGGUCAUCAUUAUCUUUCUUCAGACAUCAGUGACAUCGUUGUUUGCCAUCAGCCUGUCUGCAUUCUCAUGUACCUCUAUUCUCUCCCUACCCUGGUCUUUAGGGACAUGUGAACGCCAAGUGCACUGGCAGAACCCUUGAAGUUAUGAGAGCCAGAAACCCAGCUAGAGCGAGUGUAGGACAGACAGAAUCUAGGCAGUACCCCACACUGUGGGGAGAGCAGGUGUGCAGCUGGGACUCGGAGCUCCGAGUCACAGAGGGGACCCCAGAUGUUGUCAGGAGUCUUUCUUGUCCCUCGUCCCUGUUUCUGGGACUUCCUUCUGUCAUACUGACUUCACGUGACCCGAAAUAGAAUGCCCAAAUAGCUCCCACAGCUCACAUUACAAAUUUUGCCAUAGAAAGGGACCGAGGCUCCUUAAAUAGAGCCAGUUUGCAAGAUCUUUGGGAAAGAUUUCGAUCGGCCCAGCCUAGUUUGGGGUGGGGCCGAGGGGCUGGGUCUCUGCUUGGGCUGCGGGGAGGGAGAGCGUGAGUCCUACGGAAGACGAGGCCUCGUGGACACACGUUGGAGCUGUCCACUCCAGGAAGAGGAGCAGUCACAGGGUCUUAGUUCCUAGCUCGGAGACCUGUCUGAAUGGGAGUGUUUAUGCUUAAUAAAGCCAGGCCUAUCUGGAGGUUCAAUGCCAGAAACAUCCGGGGACAGGACAGGUAUGAGAGGCUGAAAACAAGGUGGUGACCCCACAGCCUUCUCAGAAGAGAGAGCUGGCUGCGACAGGAGGCUGGCAGACCUGGAUGUGAAGCUGGAAGUUUCGUUUGGUGCUGUUGGGAAGCUUUUGUUUUGUAGGAAACCAAGUCUCAUUGGGACUCUCCCUCCGUUAGGGCUGUCUGCAAUAAAGAUGACAAUAAAAGCAUUCAGACUCCAUCUGUUGAGCACUUA